CAAAAGGGUGCUUGCUCCUCAUAGCACGCGGGUCUCUAUGGGACUCGUGGGGUAUGGUAAUCAAGACAUACCUGGCACAUAAUUUUUGUUCCUGUGAGGCUGUUUCUUGUCAUUGUACAGAGGCGCCUCC